rnacentral:tRNA from 1 species
UCCCUGGUGGUCCAAUGGUUAAGACGUUGUGCUUUCACUGCAGGAGGCCCAGGGUUCAAUCCCUGGUUGGAGAG